rnacentral:rRNA from 1 species
UACGAAGGGGGCUAGCGUUGCUCGGAAUCACUGGGCGUAAAGGGUGCGUAGGCGGGUCUUUAAGUCAGGGGUGAAAUCCUGGAGCUCAACUCCAGAACUGCCUUUGAUACUGGCGAUCUCGAGUCCGGGAGAGGUGAGUGGAACUGCGAGUGUAGAGGUGAAAUUCGUAGAUAUUCGCAAGAACACCAGUGGCGAAGGCGGCUCGCUGGGCCCAGCACCUGACGCUGAGACGCGAAAGCUAGGGGAGCAGAACGAGGAACUUGA